GACGAACGCUGGCGGCGUGCCUAAUACAUGCAAGUCGAGCGGGCCUCCGGAGGUGCUUGCACCUCCGGAAGGCCAGCGGCGGACGGGUGAGUAACACGUGGGCAACCUGCCUUUGAGGCCGGGAUAACACCGGGAAACCGGUGCUAAUACCGGAUACGUCCUCUUUCGCGCCUGCGAGAGGGGAGAAAGACGGUCUUUAAGGCCGUCGCUCAAAGAGGGGCCCGCGGCGCAUUAGCUGGUUGGUGGGGUAAGGGCCUACCAAGGCGACGAUGCGUUGCCGGCCUGAGAGGGUGAUGGGCCACACGGGGACUGAGACACGGCCCAGACUCCUGCGGGAGGCAGCAGUAGGGAAUCAUCCGCAAUGGGCGAAAGCCUGACGGUGCAGCGCCGCGUGAGUGAGGAAGGUUUUCGGAUCGUAAAGCUCUGUUGUGAGGGAAGAACAGCUUCCGGAGGAAAUGCCGGAGGUUUGCCGGUACCUCACCAGAAAGCCCCGGCUAACUACGUGCCAGCAGCCGCGGUAA
rnacentral:rRNA from 1 species